rnacentral:lncRNA from 1 species
CCAAAGCAGGAAGUGACUAGGCUGUCACUGUCAGUUUUGAUAAGAAGGUCCCUGUAUGCCUUAAUUGGGGAGGGGGGAGCAUUCCUCUGCCAUGCUUCUGUUGUCAAUUUGAGGCCCCUUUCCUCCCUCCAAGAAAGAGUCUUUUAUGGGGACAUAAGAGUGUGGGGUGGGGCACUCUUGUGCACUCUGUAGCAUUGAGACAGAACACUUUCCCUGCACAAGGUUCUGAAUUCUAGCUGUCAACGUGUCUGAUGGUCUUGGCUCCCCCCCCCCCGAUCUUAACAGCAACCUGAGCUGAUGAUUCUUCUUAUCAUCAUCAAUUUGGACUGCUGGGUUGUCGAGAACCCCCUCCUAGAAACCUCAGCUCAGGCCUCACUCCCUUACCGAUGAAGCUCAGGUCCCAUGAGAUUGACAUAUGCAGAGAGCAGAUGGAGGAACUGAGCAUCUGAUGCCCACGCCCACGUCGGUGCCAUGCUGAGCCCGCUGGUGUCGUCUCCUCCUGCCUGGGGAGGGCGAGGCGAGGGGGGCUCACCCCCUUGCGCCACCACAUCCCUGUGCCCUCUUAAGUCUCAGCCCCACAGGCCAAACCCCAGUUGCUCAGCCUCAAGGGAGCCUCUGUUCCUCCUCUUGUCUGCUGUGGACGCAGCCCAUCGGCAGGUGGUCCAGGAGGAGGGCAUCCUCCCAUUGCCUAGCAACCGCGAUGUGCAUUUUCUCCCGCUGCUCUCGACCUGCUUGAAGCAAACAAGGAGGCUAGGAAGAGGAAAGGGGGAGUCAAUCAAGGAGGGAACAAGAAUGGGUCCCUUUUCCUGGAGGGCCAUCCCGUCUGAUUCUGAGAAUCAGAGAGGAAGAAUCAAAAGAACCAGAAGGAUGGGUGUCGAGAAGCUGAUCUUGAAGUUGUUCGAACGGCAAACACUCAGAUGAUCGGAUGACUGUUUUCCCCAACCAAGUGAGAUGAAUUCUCUUUAAAUGACAGACGUGAUUUCUAGCUUUGUGCCUAGACACGUCAAUAAUCAGCCUACCGUAUUUUUCCGUGUAUAAAAAUAUACUUUUGUCUAAAAUCUUUAGACUGAAAAUUGAGGGUAGUCUUAUACACAGAAGUAAGCUGAGGAGAGAACAAAAACAAGUGGAGGGGAAAGCAGGGAUCAAAGCAAUCCUGCAGCGCUUUGAUCCCUUUCCUCCUACACUUGCUAAGCCCCACUUAGAUUUCUUAAUUUUGGAUUAGAAAAGUGAGGGGGUCUUAUACAUGGGGGCAUCUUAUACACAGAAAAAUAUGGUACUGUACAUAGUUUUAUGCAAAUCAGCAUCUCCUUUGGCCUGUUUUGGGGUGAUGGGAAAGUGGCCGGCUACAUCAGCUCUGGCAGUAGCGUAAGGAAGCUGCCCUAUCCUGAAUCAUGAAGUUAAAAAAAAGGGGGGGGGAGACUGUAAUCCUAGGAUGUAGAAAAUAUGGUGCUCUCAACCGGUGCUGCAGCAGGAGCCUCACAGUGCAGUGGUUAACCUGCAGCCAAAACUCUGUUCAUCAUCUAGGUUCAAUCACUGGCAGCCGGCUCAAAGUUCACUCAGCCUUCCAUCCUUCUGAGUUUGGUGAAUUGAGUACCCAGUUUGUUGGAGGGUGGGGGGGUCGGAUGUGUAACCUUCAUUAAUGUGUAGCCUAUAUAAUGAAAUUGUAAACCGCCCAGAGAGAGCUUUAAGUGCUAUGGGGUGGUAUAUAAGCAGCACACUUUACUUUUUGUUAGUUGGUCAGUUGGUUUGCUUUUCUCUUUAUUCCAGUAUAGAAUGUCCAACGUGUUUCGGCCUACCAGCCCUCUUCAGGGGCAUUACAACAGAAAAAGAAUUAUAUUUAAUAUGACAUUUUCCCCAGUAAAUUAUAAUGUUAAAAACCUACAACAACCAAUGUUAUAAUUGUAAUUCGUUUUAUGUUAUA